ACCCCCACGUCUUUAUCCUACCAAGAUGAUUUAUCUCAACGCAAUCUUGAAAAAAAAACUUGCGCGCGGAACAAAGAAAACGCAACAAUAAUACCCCACGUCCUGAUACCGAUACCGAUACCGAUACCGCACUCAGUAAUCCUCAUCCCUCCUAAAAACGUGGAGAUCGAUCCGAAGGAUCUGCGCCAACAUCCUUCCCCUCCUUUUCUCCUAAAAUAACAACCGUAGAAAACUGAUCGUCCUUUUUUCCUGCAUCUGCCUUUUCUCUUCCACUCCUCUCCUAAGUUCUAUGCGUGAAUUGAUGGCUCCUACUAGAUCGGGAGGAUUAGGGGAGAAACGGAAGCUCCACGGGCUAAUACUUAUCUGCCAUGACCACUGUUUGAUCCCCGCACACCUUCCUGCCUCCACGAGUGCUCCCGCUCCUCUGCGGGGGAGCACGCGAUGGACGUAGGUGGGGCGAUGUCACCAUAGCGGGCGGCCACUGCCUGAGAUUAACUGUGGGUGGAUUAGCAUGGAGUAGGAGACGUGGAUGGACCCCGCUCAGAACCAGCAGUCAUUAGGAGGACUCAGCCGCCAGACUCUUCCACGAGCCAGCUCCUCCAAGUCUACACCUUCUAUCUAUCGCUGCUCCAAUGAUCAAGUUGUUGCGCGCGCCUGAACCGGACUCGGGAAAUCAAGUCAGUUGUUGCCCACGAGAAGCAGCAGAGGCACGGC